GUGCCGGUGGUGUAAGGCGAACAUCGCUGCCCGGAAAGCAGAAGAUGCGGGUUCGAGUCCCGCCUGGCGCA
rfam:Heligmosomoides polygyrus genome assembly, scaffold: HPBE_scaffold0010017